rnacentral:rRNA from 1 species
AUUGAACGCUGGCGGCAGGCUUAACACAUGCAAGUCGAGCGGAGAUGAGGUGCUUGCACCUUAUCUUAGCGGCGGACGGGUGAGUAAUGCUUAGGAAUCUGCCUAUUAGUGGGGGACAACAUUCCGAAAGGGAUGCUAAUACCGCAUACGUCCUACGGGAGAAAGCAGGGGAUCUUCGGACCUUGCGCUAAUAGAUGAGCAUAAGUCGGAUUAGCUAGUUGGUGGGGUAAAGGCCUACCAAGGCGACGAUCUGUAGCGGGUCUGAGAGGAUGGUCCGCCACACUGGGACUGAGACACGGCCCAGACUCCUACGGGAGGCAGCAGUGGGGAAUAUUGGACAAUGGGGGGAACCCUGAUCCAGCCAUGCCGCGUGUGUGAAGAAGGCCUUAUGGUUGUAAAGCACUUUAAGCGAGGAGGAGGCUACUGAGACUAAUACUCUUGGAUAGUGGACGUUACUCGCAGAAUAAGCACCGGCUAACUCUGUGCCAGCAGCCGCAGUAAGAC